rnacentral:misc_RNA from 1 species
AAGUGGCGUCCGGCUGCGCACCUCCCCCGCGGGGGUUCGCGCGGUCCGUACCUCCCACCCGUGUUUACUGAACCAUUGUUGCCUUGGCAGGCCUGCCGGGCCUCCGGCUGCCGGGGAUCGCCCGCCUUGCGCGGCGUCCCGGGCGCGCGCCUGCCAGCGGAUCAAUUGAACUCUUAUGUGAAGAUUGUCAGUCUGAGCAUCAUAGCAAAAAUCAAACA